UAGAACGUGGGUAUUACACAGUGCUUCAUUUGAUUCCUUUUCUUCCUCUUGCCCUAUUUUUUGUAGCAUAGACCAGAAUGAGUUUCUAAAACAGCAUGUUUGGCCAGUGUGGAUUUCAUGUUAUUUGCACUGUUCAUUGCAGGUCCAUUUGGGUGUCUGGCAGGGGGGUGGGUUAACUCUGCUGAGUGUGAGGCGCACGCUGAGCGGCUCUCCUGCUCCCACUCCCCCGGAGGACUGGGGGACAAAAUACUGCAGAGAAGGUCAUGGGUCAGGAUAGGGGCAGGGGGAGCACACAGCAGUUCUUGUGGCCAAAACAACUUCACCUUGAGGAAGAUUAAUUUGUUAUCGCUUAAUAAUAAGGUAGGAUAGUGAGAACUAAAUACUGUAACUGCCAUAAAUUUAUCCUCAGGCAGUAUCAAGGGUUUCUAGCUUUGUCAUGAGAUGGGCGAAACCAAAUCUGCACUGCACUUGUGGCUGACAUUAGGAUGGGGCAGAGAAAGGCCCUGCAUUUUCUAUCUUUACUAUUGGUUUUCACUGCUGCUGAUCUGUUUUCUGAAAAUGAUCUGAAAGUAACUGGGAUUCAAUUCAAAUAGUCUGCAUAUACACUUUUAUUCUAUGCAUAUUAAUCACUGUAGAGAGAAGCUUUCACUGUAAUGUUAAACAUUGGAUUUUUUCCUCAGUUUAUAACCUCAGUUUAGUACACCCCCACCAGUUUUGCAGAGCAGCUGUGUUGCUGACCAUCCCUGUGCUGCCAGAUAAGUGCAGGCAUGGUACAGAGCACAGCCUUUUGGGCACCACUCAGCCUCUUCGGUUAUGGGGAGGCUUCAGGGUCAGUGUGCGCUAUUUAACAGGAUGUGCAACACCCCCAUUCAGGACUAUGACAACAGAAAGUAUAAUAAGCUAAUUCAGGCUUGAAGUAAGGGUGCUUAAUAGGACAACAGUGAGAGGGAAAUAUAAACAAGAACGAAUAGCAGAGAAAAGAAUGAACUAUUAUUCCAGAACUGUGUGCAGUAAGCUUUUCUACUCGUAGCCGUCUGACAAGAGUAAGCACAUCAAUGAUUGGUUAUUUUUUUCUUUAAGGAAAUAGGUGGAUAACUGCUGCUGACAAAGCUAACAGGAGUGAGGUGAAGCAGCAUUUAAGACACAACUGUUUUCUGUCAAAGUGAGAUACUGGCAUACAGCAGUGAGGAAUCUCAUCCCAAGGUAGGAGACACUCGUAGCUCAGGAACUGGUUAUCGGUGACCACCUGCCAGGUACUGACCUGGCUUCUGGAGUACAGCUCCAGUUCCUAUAAAUACAAAAAAGACAACAUUCAAAGCAAAACAUGCACACAGAAGUGCUGAUGUCACAAUGAUGGAAAUGGAAAACUUUAACAGGGAGGCAAGCAACAGGAAUAGGGUACAGAUUUAAAUAACCUUACCUCUGCAGUGAAAACAAGGUAGCUCUCUGUGGAAUGACAGUAAGAGCAAGCACGUGAGAGCCACUGCGGGACUGAUAACAUGUAAGUGUACAGCACGGCCACGGAAAGAAGUGUUGUCCUUCCUGUGUAAUUACAGGAAAGGAGAGAAGGAAAUAACACCCAAACCAGUUCACUACAAAAUGGUUCCCAGCAUCUGACUCCUAGAUCACAUAGCUUUAUGACAGCAGCUAGAAAUCGAAGUAAGCCUGUUCCAUUUUACAGCCUUACUAAUGCAAAUUAUUUUAUAUAUUGGCUUCACUUACCAGAAUUCACACAUUAAAAUGCUUUGAUAUUUAAAUAAGGAUGCUCUUUCUUUGUUGGCAUUUGGAAGCAAUUUGCUUGCUUUAGUACACAGAGGGGAAAAAAGGUCCUGAAUUCACAUAAUAAUUGAAAUAAUAGCUGUUGUUUUUUUAAUCAGUUCAUACAAUUAAGACCCAUUUAGACUGAUAAAGAGUGCAAUUUAUUUAGAUUUGUUUUUAUUGACAGUCUAAAGAGACUCAAAUCUAAAGAGAAAAAUCUCAAAAUACAAAAGUACAAUUAAAAAAAUAUAGUAAGCAGCAGCAAGAACAUUAAUUUACAUUGGAAGGUUGGGGUUUUUUCAUGCAUUCUGGUUUUGAGCUAUACUGUGCUCAGCAAUGCCAAGUUCAGUCAGUCCUUUCACUGCAAUAACUUUGGGGUUUGUUGCCACACUCUUCGUGGUGUUGUGAGUCUUGUAUAUCCCGAUCAGUCUGUCUGCAAUCUCAAACAUGUUGUUCCGCAGGGAGAUGAUGAUGAACUGCGCGUUUUUUGUUUGCUCCUGAAACAGAGGGUGUUUGUGUGAGCUCACGGGAUUUCAGAAAGCUGCGUUCUUGCAUGGUCUCUACAUCCAGGUUUAAGAACUGCUGACACAUCACUGUAAAUAUUCAGUGCAUAAUGUAAUCCAACAGCUCUGCAGGUGCUGAUCUCUCAUAACUUGUCUGGUUUUGGCUAAGUCCUGCCUUAGCUUUCAGCACAAAGCAUUUCAAUUGACUUAAGCAUCAGCUUUCCCCCCCUUUCUUUUCCUUUUACAUGACCUGUUCAAGUGAAUUGAAUUAAAUAAAAGCAUACAUAAAUUUCUGCAGAAUUUCAGUGUGCCACAGUUUUAAUGUGAAUUCCACUAGGUUUACUGAAGGCUUCCUGACUUACCUGAAUUGUUCCAACGAGGGCUCCUUUAGGAAUGAAAAGGAAAACAAACCUAUCUCCACACAGCGAGAACUUUGUUAAAGGGGACAAGCCCUGAAGAAGAGCAGUUCUGUGAUCCCGAGGCACAAUGACAGUAAAUAACAAAACAUCUACAUUGGGUGAUGCUUUCAAAAUGAAAUCACCUUCUUUCCCUUAAUAACUCAGGAGCAACAGUGUAAGUUCACGUGUGAAAAUACAAGUACUGCGGAAGCAAAGUUUAGAGUGCUUCUCUAGCUUGAAGUAGUUAAUCUUUGGCACUUCCAGCCUGUUCCCAAAAUGGGUGGAUAUACUCAGAAUAAUUCUGAAAAUUUUAAGUGUAAAUUAGCAGCAGGAACUGCAACAAUGUAAAUGCUUGCUUGGCUUAAAUAUGGUGAUGCUAGAAUUAUUAGUGCUUUUUCUUUCAGGCUUUCAAAAAAGACAGACCAAAUAAACCUGCCUAUUGAAGCUUGAGAGAAUGGAAGGCAAGUAAAAACCCCGGGACGUUGGCUGCACCUCAGAAUGAAGUCAUGAGCCUGGAUAUGUGAACGCCCUACCAAGAGCAUCUCAGCUGACUAGGGCUGAUUAGUUUAACUGAAAGUAUAUUUUAAAGAGCAAGGAGUUGCAGCAAGGCUGUGCUGAACUACAGCACUGUUGGCAAACUCUUUGCUCUUUAGACAGCUUUCAAAAUGUGCAGUGAGGACGUAGGGAAUAAUUAUAGAUCCUCUAUUAGCAAUCCAACUUCAAGAAAGCAGCAGUUUAGAACAAAAUAUGCAGAAUGCUACAUUCUGAGCACCGUUCUGCAAGUCUGCUUAGCACACAGUUAUUUGAAAACACUGCAUCUUACGAAGACACUGAAUCUGGCUGUAAUUUUGUUACCACUUUCCCAUUUUCUGGCUGAGAAGGAAAAAAAGUCCCUCCGCAAUAGUUACCAGUACUUACAUAUAUGUAAAAUGCUACAAUGGAUACAUUUUUGAAGUCAAGUGCUGCAUCAAUCUCAUCCAUAAAAUACAGUGGUGUUGGCUUGUAAUGAUGAAGUGCAAAAACUAAAGCCAGUGAACUAAGAGUCUUCUCUCCUCCUGAUAAGUUAAAUAUCUUCUUCCAGCUUUUCUUUGGAGGCCGAACACUGAACAUGAUUCCCUCAGAGAAGGGAUCCAAACUGUCUACAAGUUCUAAUUCAGCAUCUCCUCCCAAAGUAAGCAUCUGGUAGUUCUCCUUCAGUUUAUUUGUUAUUACAUUAAAUCCCGCCAUAAAUUCAUUGAGCCUCUGCUUCCUGAGAUCUUCAAAAGCUUGUCUAAAUCUGUCUCUCUCGUUGGUAAUGUCAUCCAAUUCAGCCACACGUUUUAAGUAUAGCUCUUCCUGUAAAAAACAAUGAGACACCACAAAACCAAAGUGCAGUUAAAGAAACUGCCUCUACUUUAGAUUUUAUGCCACUCUUCUUUCUACCAUUUCAAAACUUAUUUUUCCCAGAAUGACCAACAGCCCUGAAACAAAAAAGAAUUGAGAACAAACCCUCCCUCCUUUCACUGUUCACUUCUGACGUGGACUCCCUCAGUCAUUUAAUUAACUUGAAACUGUAAUUAAACAAUGUCUAUUUUAGUAGCUCUGUGCUUCAGGUAAUCUUACAGCUCUGCCCAUAAGAGCUGUGGGUAUUUGGUGCAGAGUAUCUCUCAAACACUCUGGAGAGAAGCAGCUCCCAUCUGCAUUUAAUCAACCUGUCUCAACAGCUACAAAUGGUUCUGCUUGAUACCAUCUAAUAGCACAGAUAGUCAUUGUCUGUCUUUACAUGUCAGCAGUCUGCGUGUAAAGGUUUUUCCUUCUUCCCCUGGGAUGAGGCAAUGCUAGGCAAGAAAACCUGAAUAAAUCCUUAAAAAGCUACAUGUGUUUUGGACAAGACAAAGCCAUACUGUUGUGCUGACACGCAGUGCAAUAUCAAAGCAAUGAAUUCUACUGCUACAUGGCAGUAGCAAAGCUUUACCUUCCUCCUAUAUUCUGCAAUAGCACCAAGGUUGGGUUUCAUUUCAUGGCACUGUGCUUCCAAGAGAGCUAUUUGAUUAGUGAUAAUGUCCGGAUCCUUGAUAGCCUCAAGCUCUUCUUGACUGAGCACUGGGAGUUCUUCGGGUGGCUUAUCUUCUAUGGGAUGCAAUGAUAAUUUUGAUAUCUAAAAACCAAAACCAGUUACUAGAAAUCUAAAGAUGACAUUCGUUAUCACAUGAACAUGUUUCCAAAAUAAACAUCUUUGGUAUUAGUAGAUACUGAGCCUUCCAAGCAUUCAAAACUUCUUCACUUAAUUCUCUUUAAAAUUGAGAUGCAUGCACAACAACAAACGCUAUAUCCUGUGGUUUUGCUCCUGAAAAUUUAUUCUUAGGAAUGGGAUAUUUCUGUACAUGGAGCAGUAGCAGGUAAUGUGGGUAUCAUCUCUACUUUCUGUAUCCUUAAAGUUUGUUUUAGAACUUCAAUAACUGUAUUUAAUACCUUGUAUCUGCAAGAUUGAAAAGCUUCUGAAUACCUUUUCUGAGCAGCUGCCCCAGUUGUUCUCAAAGGAGCAAGGAUGUAAAGGGCACUGCGUGAUCAUCUGCUGGUCUACAUCUUAUCUGGCCUUUUUUCCUGAACGUCUCCCCGCGCACACACCACGUUUUUGCACUUUGCACAGAUCAUGAAAAACAAAGCAAAGCCAACCCCCGCCAUAGCCUCUUACUGACUCUGUGCACUCAGAAAGUCUAUGAGCCAAAGAAGUCAGCUUUCGGUGCAGAACUGCUUCCAGAAGAAUUAAACACCACUCCCAGAAGCUGAUCGAAAACACUUUUGAUGUAAUUUGCUUUGUUUUAAAGAACAGCUUAGUGGAUACAGCACUGCAUGUUUUCCAUUUCCUACUCCUCUUUGCUUCUUUCACCAUUGUAAGAAGGGUUUUGUGUUUUUUUUCCCCCCAGUAUCUACUGAGAACACCCAGGCACAGAAAGUCUCUUAGUUGGUAUUUAUUGCCCACUAUUUUUUCCUCGUUGCUUUUCAUUGCUCCUAAAUAGCACCACGUCAGUUACAGUUACCCCACCAUUCUUUCAUAGAUAAAGAACUUGGAAAGUCAGAAGCUAAAUCAUUUCAUUCAUGUCAUCUUUUUUUAGAGCAGGUUUCCAUAGGAUAAACAAUAAUGAGCUAUAAAUAAUGAGCUGAAUAUCAAUUUUUGCCUAAAAUAAGUUUUCUACUGUGUUAACCUAUUAAUCUUUUGGGGAUAUUGUAAUUCAACGUCUAUGAACUGAAACGCUUGCUUACCUCCUUUUGCCAGUAUUUAAUCUUCGACUGAUGUGUAGAAAUAUGACUAUCAAUCUGUUCAAUUUUAAACUUGAUAUUAAGAGCUUCCUUUCGUAGUUCGUGUUCAUCAUCCUGAAUAGCUCUCAUCUCCUGCAGCAAAUUGCGGUGCUCCUCCUGAACGGCCGGCAGCGCUUCCUGCAGGAGUGACACACAGAGUGCAUUCCUCAGCUGCCUGGGAAGUGUUACCCAUUCCUCACUUUAU
rnacentral:lncRNA from 1 species